UUUCCGUAGGUGAACCUGCGGAAGGAUCAUUAAAGAAUUUCAAGAGUGCACUUCAUUGUGGCUCUACAUUUUCUACUAUUUACCCUAGUGCACUGUAAUACCUUUUUUAUUAGACUCUAUAAAGUUAUUUAAUGUAACACUCUUUAAUAAAGAAAUAAAACUUUUAACAACGGAUCUCUUGGCUCUC
rnacentral:misc_RNA from 1 species